AUAGGGUGAGGGGUCCUUACUCGUUUCGGGGUCCGAACACGGCUUCACAGUGCGCCUACAGGCUGUCCCUAAUUUUUCCUGAAUUUUUCCUGGGGAACUGAAACGCACUACUGGUACCGGCGGCGAUGCCCUCGGGUGCGGCGGCUCUCCGGUGAAGUUCGUGUUUUGGUGAUUCGGCUCCGAUCAACCUGUAGAGAAAAGAAUGGUGAUCACGGUGAUAUAAAAAUUGCAUUAAACGGAGGCCGGGAAGGGCCUCAUCGGAGGCAAAAAUCGAGGAGGGGCGCGGCAGCGCCGCUGGGCUUCGGCCGUGUUUUUCGACUGUUUGGCCGAGAUUUUGGCUCCGAUUCGGCCACAGGGAAAAUCAGCGUAGAAAAACGAGUCGGGGCUAUGAAAUUUACCUCGAUCGGCGGUCGGAAAUCCCUCCGGUGCGGCGGCGGGUGGUGGCGGCCGGCUUCUGGUUCGUCUUCUCCGGCG
rnacentral:lncRNA from 1 species